rnacentral:lncRNA from 1 species
GAGCACUGCAGCCAAGCCCUGCCAUGGGCUGUAUGAAAAGGAACAAGGAUGGGAAAGAGACCGUGUUUCAGCGAGACCUCACAGCGAAUAUUGAGUUGCAGGAUCAUUUGUGUCAGAAGAAUCACCAAGCCUGAUAGCACAGGGAUUUCAUUGUCCCUAAAUCAUCCCAGGUAUGGUAAUACCAUAUCCAGGGAUUAAUAUCACUAACUAUAAUUUUUGAGAAAUGGGUCCUUAUCCUGCAGUUCAUAAAGAUGAAAUGGAGAUGGAGUUAAGCAGACAAUUUACAAUGUACCUGUCCUCUUCUGCAGUGGGUGGAAAGGAUUUGUGACAGUGGAAGCUGAUUCUGAACAGAGUCUGCCAGAGGAUGAGGAGGAAAUACCAACCAAAAGAGCUUUUGUAAACUGAGAAUUUUGAGGGUUCCAGGGAACGUGGGGUGUGAUGAAGGAAACAGCAACAGAAUACAUCAGAGAAAACUUCCUGAACGUGAGAUCUAUGAAAAUGCACUACAGCCUCCAAACAAGAACACUGCAUUGCCUUCAGUGCUAAAAACAGCCUGGAGAAUGUAUGAAGAACUUAUGUUGGAAGGAGAGUUCCUCCAGUGGCUGCCAAUAGCCCACAUCUCCUGCUCUCCACCUUCUGACCCACCGCAGAGAUAAUGCGUGAGGUUGGUGCUAU